rnacentral:tRNA from 1 species
GGCUCCGUAGCUCAGUUGGCAGAGCACCUGACUUUUAAUCAGAGCGUCGCAGGUUCGAGUCCUGCCGGAGUCACCA